AUGCAAAUGACGAGUUACUCGGAUUCCCCUUCAAGACAUUAUGGGUGAUGCAAACUCGAGUUUCUGAUGCA
rnacentral:snoRNA from 11 species